CCAAAGGACCUGGGCACCUCGCAGUCAUUGAGUUGGCCAUGAACUCCUCUGUAUUUCAAAGUAUUCUAGAGUCAAAUGUGAGGGCAUCUGUCCGACAUUUAAAGUCGGGCCAAACUUGCGUUAUGCAACAGGACAAUGAUCCUAAGCACACCAGCAAAGCUACAACAGAAUGGCUGAAAAGAAAAGAAUCAAGGUGUUGCAACAGCCCAAAGUCCAGAGCUCAUCCUGACUCAAAUGCUGUGGUGAGAGCUGUGCAUAAGCAAAUGCCCACAAACCUCAAUAAACUGGAGCAACGUUGAAAAGAAGAGUGAUCCAAAUUCCUCCAGAACAAUGUGACAGACUGAUAAAGUCACACAGAAAAUGAAUGCUUCAAGUUACUGCUGCUAAAAGGGGAUCUACAGGCAACUGACUCAUAGGGUGUCCAAACUUUGCCACGUAUGGACUUUAACUCUUGGCUGUAUUUUUCUUAAAUAAAUAAUGACACUGUGUGAUAUGUCAAGUGAUGAUGUUUAUCUGAGGAUUUAGUUUCCAAAUUUUAAGACCUGCCAAGGACCAGAUAAUUUUUUAUUAUGUCCUGAUACAGAAAACCAUGAAAUUCAAUAGGGUGUCCUAACUUUUUCACAUGACUGUAUAUAGGCGUAGGCGAUAUAUCACGGAUGGGCCUGAUUGCCUGAUGUCUUUUCGUCUGAUGCCUUUUAAUGUGAGUCCAUUUCAUCUGAUGCCUUUUUAUCUGAGUCUGUUUCGUCUGAUGCCUAAUUGUAUGAAACCUGACACCUGACGUCAUUUUUCCUGAGACCUGAAGCCUUUUAGUCUGAGGCACAAAGCCGUUUUGUCCAGUGACUGAAGCCUUUGAGGCAUGACGCCUUUUUGAUUUUAUGACUGAUGUCUGAGGAUGUCCUAAAAUGUACACUGUACUCAGGGUGCUAGUAGGGCUGAGUGUAGUUAGGUCUCCUCUCGCUUAGAGAGUCAUUAUGCUGAGACUUCCACUCCUAGAGUUCCUCUAACAAGGCAGAGAGUUGUAGGCUCCCCCUCGCUUAGAGGGGCAUUCUGAAGAAGUCUCCGCCCUAUUUUAGGUGCCCUCAUAAGGAGCAGAGAAUGGCCUGGGGAAACCCCACCCUAAUGGGUGGUGUUCAUGUGGAGGAAGUUUGGCCAGUCUUAAGGAAACUUGCUGUGACUGACUUUGCACUAUCCCCUCUGGCCUCUCUGACUCACCCAGUACCCUGGGACUGGUUGAUUUGGUAUAGCGUGGGCCAAGUCUUCACCUGUACACUCUUCCCCGAUCGCUCUGCUUUCAGGAGUUCUGUUAAAAAAACAGACCCAGCACUGUGACGUAACACUCUGGUCUUUACAACUGAGGUUGCAGAGACCGCCCUCCAUUCCAGAGCUCCCUCAGUGAGGAAUGUGCAGGAGUAGACAGCCUAUCUAGGCUUGGCAGGGACUCCACCCUAGGGUGGCCUUCAUUAGAGGAAGUUUGACCAGUCUUAGGGGGACUUGCUGUGACUGACUUCGCACUAUCCCCUCUGGCCUCUCCGACUCACCCAGUUCCUUUGGACUGGUAGCAUUUUGGUACAGCCCUGGCCAGGGCUUCCUCUAUACCCUACUCCUAUUGCCCUGCUCCUGGGAGCCCUGGAACCCACCUCACCUCCUUUCGGGGGUUUUUGGCUGAUUCUCUCCUUAUGGCAAGUUUCCUCUGCGGAGGCUGUUAGUACGAUACCUUGCCCUAUGUGGGCUGGCCGUAGAAGCGCGAUUCUACAGUUGACACUGAGAGUGUUGGCGAUUCUUGGGACUUGUGCCUUCGGCCAAGCUCUCCCUGCUACCCCUUUCUGGGUAUGUACCUAGUGCUCCUAAGCUUAUUGUAUGUCAAGGCUCACCUAUCUCAGUAUGGCUUGGGUCCUUCUGUCAGGCUUUUCCCUGAUCGGACCUGACAUUGCCACGGACUCAUCUGCGCCCCUUCCCUGAGCCACUUCGGCUCCCUUUCACCCUAGUUGCUCACACAUUAGGCAGAGAUUUGCAUGGCUUGAGUUCCUGAAAGGUAAUGUCUCGGGUUACGUAUGUAACCCUGGUCCCUUAAGGGAACGAGAUGCUGCACCUCUGUGCCAUACUUCCUGCACCCCUGCAGCUCUUGCUUCACGAUUUAGAAGCUGCCAGCUGCAUUCACUGCACAUGCUUUAUAGCUUCCUGGUCUCUACGUCAUUCUGCCCUUGACAUCUCGCUUCUCUAUUGACUGAUUGCUCAUGUGUUUCAGAGCAUAGUCAUGAAGGCGUUCUCAUAGCAUUCUGACGCAGCGUCUCGUUCCCUUGAGGAACCAGGGUUACAUAUGGAACCUGAGACGUUGUCUUUCUUACCUGUUCUCACAUGGACAUAUUCUCAGUCCUUCCCAGAUUGAAUGGUUUUUAAAUUAAUUGAGAAAGUUGGUAUUGUGAAGUCCUUGCAACGCACAAAUAAAUUGCUAAAUCGCAAUUCUUCUGUCUAUGUCACUUGAUCUGGACAGGAUGGAUGAAACAGCAGAGUAGUAUGUUUCUGCAAUUGUUUAGUACACAUUUAACUAAUGGCUAUUGCCAUUCUCACUUCACUUGGAAUGAGUGAAGUUUUGAAAUGAAUCCACUCUUGCUUUGUUUUGUCUUUGCCGAAGUGUUAAGACAAAGUGUGCUUCUAUUUUAAAAAGCAUUGUCAGUCACCAGCAAAGCCAACAAUACUAUUGAUUAGAUGGAGCAAUCUAUAAAGCAGAAAUGUACAACUGUAUUUAGAUGAUUUUAGGACAUUUGAGUUGUUUAUUGGCUCUGAAAAGUUAAAGGGAAUACUUUUUUAUAGAAAAGUGGGAGCCACAAGAGAAUUAUAUUGAUAAAUUAAUACAUAAUAUAAUACAGUUAAAUACAGGUCUUCAAAGAUAUAGCUUGUAUUACAUCUUGUUAUUUGUAGAUGUAUGGAGUCUCUGUCCAUUAUCCCAGGGGGACAGCUUAAAAUGUGAUAAACUACAACUAAAGAUUGAGACUUUAGUUUGUGUUAACUAAAAUAACAUUGUGAUCAAUGAGAACAAGACUGAGUGACUACUUUACACAGCCUUAUUCAGCUAAUAUUAACAAGAUAAAGAGGAAAAUAAUUUUUUCUUGACUUUGGUUGUUACAUUUGGUAGACUAUUUACAAGAUUUCAGUCUAUAGUUAUAAUCCAAUGCAUCGUGCUGAUGAAUUUAUAAGGAUUAUAGAAGUAUGAUAUGUUCAGAAUAGGUUACUGUUUUUUUUUUUUUUUUGGGCAUUAUGCCAAGAAGGAAUUGCCUGCUCUUUUCCUGCAAAGAAGAACUUGCUUUAUUAAAAUAUAUGUUGUUAACUGGAUGAGAUUCUUUCAAUUUUGGACAGUUGCACAGGAUGACUGACCAUAGCACAGAUUGUUCUGGGACAGUUGCCACUGGGUGAUACAACAUGAAGAAAGAGACAUUAGGGCUGUGAAAAACAAGAAAUGCUGAUGGGUGAACGGAUACACCCCAUGCACCAGUCCAACCCCAUAGAAAGAAGUUAAGUACCGAUCUCCCCUAUAUGGCCUAUUUAGAAUAAAUGACUGCACAAAUGAGAGAGGGACAUAUUUUCACUAAUAAUUUAUUUAUUUUGCACAAGACAAAUUGUCUUAAUCUGUCUGAUUUUUGCUAUUUGAGCAACUGGGAAUGGAGGGAAAAAAGGGCAAUAAAAAUACAAGAUAUUAAGAGUUAGACAGUCUUUUUCUUAGGAAAAUUAAACUGGAACUGAGUUAUAUCCAACAGCAGUAAGACACGUAGUUCAGAAGCAGAAAACGGCUAUAAUCCAAAUGGAUUUUCUGCCAGUAGGAGGCGCUUUUGGAAUGGUUUCCCUCGUAACAGCUAUUAGCAUUAGCAUGAGCAUUGGCAUUAGCAUUAGCGUAAAUGGCACAAACUGUACCUACCUUUUCUGGUUUGAUUUGUCAUUUUGUUUUCCGUACAGUGAACAGUAUGAGGGUCUUUGUUUGACAGUCAAGUCAAUUGUUUGUUGCAAUGCUGCUUGGAAACAACUUGGUCAAAUUCCAGUUGGAUUGUGGGGCAACGUGUAACAUCAUCCCCAUAAAUCUUGUGAAUCCAGACAUUCAGAUAGAGGAAACAGACCAGAUACUUGUGAUGUACAACAAAAGUAAAUUAAAACCAAUAGGCAAAUGCCAGCUGAAACUAAGAAAUCCACAUAACAAAAAGCUGUACAGACUGAAGUGUAUGGUUGUUGAUGCAAACUCUGCAGUAUCAUUACUAGGACGCAGAGUAGUCCAAGACAUGAAGUUGGUUAGUGUGCAGUCUGAGAAUAUGCUAGUGGUGGAUAAUGUCAUGAAUAAAACAGCCAGAGAAAACAGAUGGACGAUGGACAAUGGAACAAAUAACAAGUCAAUUUACAGAUGUUUUCACAGAUGAUGGUUGUAUGUCAGGACACUAUAAGAUGGAGACUAAUCACAAGGUGGAGCCAGUGAAACUGCCUAAGCAGAGAGUACCAGUUGCAAUGAUGGGACCGCUGAAGGAGGAACUAAACAAUCUCCAAGAACAAGGUAUAAUUGCACCCGUAGAACAAAGCACCAAUGGAUAAGCAGUCUUGUUGUUGUAAAGAAACCCAAUAGCAAGUUAAGAAUCUAAACAUCCCAGACCACUGAACAAAGCCUUAAAAAGGAGUCACUUCCCUCUCCCCAAAAUUGAGGACAUCUUGUCAGAGUUGUCAAAAGCAAGAGUAUUUACAGUCUGUGACGUAAAGAAUGGUUUCUGGCAUGUGCAGCUGGAUGACCCAUCAAGUUAUCUUACUGCAUUUGCAGCACCUUACGGGAGACACAGGUGAUUGAGAAUGCCUAUGGGCAUAAGCCCAGCACCUAAGGUCUUUCAGAGACUGCUGAACCAGGCAUUGGAAGGACUGCAAGGCAUACACAUAAUUGCAUAAUAGUGUUAAUAACAGGGUGUGACACUGUCAGAUAAAAGACAUUUAUUACAAUGAUUUAAUGUAUUAUAGAGUUUUAAGUGUUUUACAUGUUUUUUAGUCCAUUUUAUUCCUCCUAACAUUUUAAGUGUGUGUAUGUCUUUAAGAAAUGUAUGGUUGGCCUGAAGCAAGAACUAUAUAAAGAGAACAGCAUUUCAAACAAGGGGGAUCAGUCACAACACUUACCUGGAUUGAGAAGUUACUGUUUUUAGAGCUCACCUUUCCAGACACCAUCUACAAACUUUGGAUUACACUUUUUGUGGAUUGUAUAUACACUUGUGGACAAUCACAUUGGACUUAUCAGCACAUUGGGAUUCUUGGACUGUUUUAGGUUAAAUCUGACCCUUAAAGUUAAAGGCUGAUCUUUACAAGGGGAAGGAGGAACAGUGGAAAUGAAAA